CUCAGGCUAUGGGCAGAUACAGUUAGCUUUUGAGGUCCCCAGUUCAAUAGAUGGACAUCAGCCAUCACACAAGCCAAACUAUUCAGGCAACAACUGAAUUAUCCCCAGCUCUCAAGAG